rfam:Oryza sativa Japonica Group DNA, chromosome 7, cultivar: Nipponbare, complete sequence.
AAUAAGUGCAGUUUUUCACUAUUUAUAUUUAAUGUUUGAUCAUUCGUUUUAUUUAAAAAAUUGUUAUGAUUAGUAUUUUUAUUGCUAUUAGAUGAUAAACAUGAAUAUUACUUUAUAUGUGAUUAUUUUUUAAUUUCUUUAUAAAUUGUUUAAAUAAAACGGACGGUCAAAUGUUGGACAUAAAUAUCUACAGCUGCACUUAUU